ACUUUUUGUCGUUCUUAAUUUCUUUGGUUUUAUCUUAAUUUUGUCUCUUCAAGUAAAUCUGCUCUUUGUCAUUCCUGAAAUUUUUCACCACAAUAAAAAAUUACAACACGGAGAAAGAGCAAAUACAGUUCAAGUUUCCUCAUCUUUUACCUCCAAUUGACACACAACAAUAAUGUAGCUUCAUCUCCUUAUUAUGAGUUUCCACAACAUUUUCCUCUGUCAGACAACUAUCCAAAAGGUCAAUGCGGUUAUGAUCUGAACAAGAGUAUGGAUAAGUUGCUAGAUAUGUCUGCAUCAACUUUGAGAAAGAGUGAUGAUAUUAUAAAUAUAGGCGUCAAGAAAGUAAGUUUUCUUGUAUGUCACUUGGUGUUGCUCAUCCUGCUAACUAGGAUGGAUGAGGAUGAGCUAGGCUUUCAACAACAUAGGGCACAUUCGUGAAGUGCAGCUUGACAGCAAUAAGGAAUAAGUCUCCCCUAUCACCGCGCCAUUAAGGCCAAAAUAUCGCUAAAGAAAACAUUUGAUUCCAUUGGAUAACAAACUAAUAGCUGAAUUACCAAACCAAGGCAACUGUUGAAUCAUUCAAAUAAUGCACCACCUACCCACUACUCUUCAGCAAAACCCUAAGCUCCAUAUUAUAAAACUCUAAUGCCUCCUCUUCAAUCAUUAUCAGGCAGAGCCAAGAGCAACAAUGUCGAAGCGAGGAUACAAAGACAUUUUAUAGUAGCGGUGAUCAGUCUUUAAGAAGUAAGGAGAGUAGUCAUGCCAAUUUUGGAAGUUUUUGAUCGCAUCAAUGUUCUAGAUUCACAAGUCAAAUCAAUGUGUCAUUUUUCUUUUGAGUUGUUUCAAAUAAUUUUUUAGCUUUACAACAUGAAUCAAUUCUAGAAAAAAUACUAAUCCAUUUCGAUACAUCUCCUCUUUAAUGAAAUAGAUUUUAGAGGCAACAUGUGAAGUGACUGCUCUAAAAUACAUCUUAUUACUCUAUUGGUAUAUAUUCUAGACUAGAAGUAGUGUAAAUUUCAUUUGCAAUGUAUUUUGUUCUAUCAUGGACAAGAAAGGUCAAUUACCAACUUAACAAUU